rnacentral:rRNA from 1 species
AGAGUUUGAUCCUGGCUCAGAUUGAACGCUGGCGGCAUGCUUUACACAUGCAAGUCGAACGGCAGCACGGGUGCUUGCACCUGGUGGCGAGUGGCGGACGGGUGAGUAAUACAUCGGAACGUAUCCUAAAGUGGGGGAUAACGCAUCGAAAGAUGUGCUAAUACCGCAUACACUCUGAGGAGGAAAGUAGGGGAUCGAAAGACCUUAUGCUUUUGGAGCGGCCGAUGUCUGAUUAGCUAGUUGGUAAGGUAAUGGCUUACCAAGGCUUUGAUGGGUAGCUGGUUUGAGAGGACGACCAGCCACACUGGAACUGGAACACGGUCCAGACUCCUACGGGAGGCAGCAGUUAGGAAUUUUGCGCAAUGGACGAAAGUCUGACGCAGCAACGCCGCGUGAGUGAUG